UGUAAAAUGUGUAGCAUUGAGGUAAUAGGUGGGUGGCAGGCAGCAAGGAAAACAAUAAAACCAGACUGAAAUACGGAGAGCUCCAUUCCCUGGUAGCAUAAAACGUGGCCUGCUGUAAUCUUGAAAGCGCAUCUGAUGCCUAGUAAAUGUGUGGAUUUGCAAGCAGUAAUUGGAAGGAGCUAGAAAUGUUGGUGUGCUGGUUUCUUCUUAUAGCGAAGUGCGAAAAACAAAAAGGUGGGGAUGGCUGGCAGAAAACCAGUCUUUUAACUCCUAAAUAGCCAGAUAAUGAGGUUCUUACAACCAAACCAUUUGGAGAGAACUGUGAUCGGUUAUUGCUAAUGGAAUGUGAGAAAGAGCUCUCUAGGGGAAAGUGAAAAUGCCCUGCCGUAGUCCAAGAAGAUACACAGAGGCACUAAGGGCAUGGAGCCACAUGACAAACAGCCGAACGGAAUUAAAACGCAAUGAAGAAGAUUCCACAGGGCAAAUGACUCAAUCCCUUCAGUAAAUAGAUGACAAUAAAUAAAGGAAAGGGGAACUCUAA